rnacentral:lncRNA from 1 species
AUUUUGCUGUCUCAUUGGCCAAACAGUAUUUUAUUUAAUAAUCAAAAAGAUAAGCAUACAUAGUACAUUCCCCAUCAAAAGACAGAGGCUGACCAGAGAUCAUCUCUGAUUCUCACCAGAAUGGCUUCACAGCUCAGAGAACCUUUCUGCAUGAAUCACCAGCAAAUGAGCAUGAACUAGACCAUCUCCAGUUUAUUCCAACCCAGAAGUCAUCUGUGCAGUAGAAACAAUGCAUCUCAAACUCCCCAAUUGCUCAGUUCUACUUUCUCCCAAAUGACAAUGGCUUCUGUGCAAAGCAGGAACUGUAACCCCUCGGGAGAUGUUCACUUCCUCGUUGUAACCAGAAAAGCAGAGCUAGGAGCAGAUGAUUUCUCAGCUAUUUUUGGGACAAUUUCUCAAAAUUGGAUACAACAAGGAGAAGUUCGCUGUAAAAUAGAAGAGGGAAUCAAGUGGAGAAACAUGGGGAGAUUCUUGGACAGUCUGACUGAUGAGUGCUUGAGGACUACUGAGAUCGUCGGUUCAUGUCUCUAUGCAGGCACAGGAAGCCCUCUUUCCUGAGAACAUGUACUUAAAAUAAGUCAUCAAGCUUUUGAAAGAACAGCAAUCAUUAAUAGCUGCAACACAGGAGAAUGCAAGGACAAACUUGCAGUUCCCACAAGAUAUGUUAUUGGUAACAGGUAAGUAGGGAACCUGGGCAUAAAAGGGAUGUUGUAUGAAGAUAUCCUUUCAUGGGCACAGUUUCACAGUCUAUUAUUUCCAAAGGCUAUGAAAACAGUGAAGAUUGUGAAAAUUCUUUCUUGAAAGGUAGUGAAGUAAAUAAUGGUGUUAGUAGUCCUGGUAAUGGGAUAGACUCCGUUCUCAUUAUCAAGACAGGGCAAUAUCCUGAGUCUGACCAGGGAGGUAUAUCUUAUGGAGUGCAUCUGAAUCUCAGAAGACAAUGUCAAGGCACCACCAGGUACCAGGCAGAGACACUGAGGUCAUCUUCUUAUGAACAUAUCCCUAUGAAGGUACAACCAGUAUGUCUUCCCUGGACACACCAGUCUGAAGACACUGCAGAUGGCUAAAACAUAGUCUUGAACAAUACUCAUGUUAAUGGCUGUAUUUGCAAUCUCAACAGCGAGAGACAUUCCCUUCUCUUUAUCCAGAGAGAGCAGGAUACUAAGC